AGUAACUCCUAGGUCGAAAACUAAGCGGUGAAGGAAGUCCCAAAUGGACUGUCACUCUCGUGUUACCAAUAAGGAGCAUUGGUAAAACUUGAAGAAUUGUUUUGAUGAUGCUGCAAGAAGUAUUAUUUAAAGAGAACAUUAGAUUUAUUUAAAAAGCAACUUGUAGAGUUUGGAUGUAGUAGGAAAAUCUUAAACCUUGUAUUUUUAAUUGGAAUAAUCGAUUAUGGACAAGNUAUAAUCGAUUAUCACUUACAUUUUUACCUGCAAUAAUCGAUUAUCAAGGAGCAAUAAUAGAUUAUCACAAGUUAUACAGGAACAAUCGAUUAUCACUUCAUAUAAUCGAUUAUCACUUUUUGAAAAACCUGUANCGGACUUGAAUAAUCGAUUAUCACUUACAAUAAUCGAUUAUUUGUGGCAGUUGGGACUUGACCUUUGAUAUUCAGAGCAGCUGCCUAUAUAUUGGUUUUUUGUGAAGUUCAGAAGUAACGUUCUUGAACUGAGAAGCUUAGUAGAACACUGUUUGUCAGAGGAAAGUUCUCAGAAGCUUUGUUCAAGGUUCCCUUGCUUGGUCUCGUGAAAGGAGAGGCUCGCGUAUCGUGUGUCGAUAGUCGGAGUAGACUCUCUUCGAG
rnacentral:lncRNA from 1 species